AUUGAACGCUGGCGGCAGGCCUAACACAUGCAAGUCGAACGAGUGGCGGACGGGUGAGCAAUGUCUGGGAAACUGCCUGAGGGAGGGGGAUAACUACUGGAAACGGUAGCUAAUACCGCAUACCAUCGGAUGUGCCAAGAUGGGAUUAGCUAGUAGGUGGGGUAACGGCCAACCUAGGCGACGAUCCCUAGCUGGUCUGAGAGGAUGACCAGCCACCCUGGAACUGAGACACGGUCCAGACUCCUACGGGAGGCAGCAGUGGGGAAUAUUGCACAAUGGGCGCAAGCCUGAUGCAGCCAUGCCGCGUGUAUGAAGAAGGCCUUCGGAUUGUAAAGUACUUUCAGCGGGGAGGCGUUACUCGCAGAAGAAGCACCGGCUAACUCCGUGCCAGCAGCCGCGGUAAUAC
rnacentral:rRNA from 1 species